GAUGAAGAACGUAGCGAAUCGCGAUAAGUAAUGUGAAUUGCAGAAUCCAGUGAAUCAUCGAAUCUUUGAACGCACAUUGCGCCCGCCAGCAUUCUGGCGGGCAUGCCUGUUCGAGCGUCAUUUCAACCCUCGACCUCCCCUUGGGGAGGUCGGCGUUGGGGACCGGCAGCACACCGCCGGCCCUGAAAUGGAGUGGCGGCCCGUCCGCGGCGACCUCUGCGCAGUAAUACAGCUCGCACCGGGACCCCGACGCGGCCACGCCGUAAAACACCCAACUUCUGAACGUUGACCUCGAAUCAGGUAGGACUACCCGCUGAACUUAAGCAUAUCAAUAAGCGGAGGA
rnacentral:misc_RNA from 1 species